GAUGAACGCUGGCGGCGUGCCUAAUACAUGCAAGUCGAGCGAACAGAUGAGGAGCUUGCUCCUCUGACGUUAGCGGCGGACGGGUGAGUAACACGUGGAUAACCUACCUAUAAGACUGGGAUAACUUCGGGAAACCGGAGCUAAUACCGGAUAAUAUAUUGAACCGCAUGGUUCAAUAGUGAAAGACGGUUUUGCUGUCACUUAUAGCUUGAUCCGCGUCGCAUGAGCUAGUUGGUAAGGUAACGGCUUACCAAGGCUACGAUGCGUAGCCGACCUGAGAGGGUGAUUGGCCACACGGGAACUGAGACACGGCCCAGACUCCUACGGGAGGCAGCAGUAGGGAAUCUUCCGCAAUGGGCGAAAGGCGGACAGAGCAACGCCGCGUGAGUGAUGAAGGUGUUCGGACCGUAAAGCUCUGUUAUUAGGGAAGAAGAAAUGCGUAAGUAACUAUGCAGGUCUUGACGGUACCUAAUCAGAAAGCCACGGCUAACUACGUG
rnacentral:rRNA from 1 species